AUAUAAACCUAGCAAUACAGUGGAUUCAGAGAGCCACAAGCUUCGUACACAAGAAUGACUCGCACACUUGUCUCAAUGAUUUUGCUGAAAUUUUUUAUCUUUGCAGCCAUGGUGAUUGUUCUAUUCUCACUUGGUGUGAGUAGCAAUCAGGUUUGUCCUGGACAAUGCGAUGAUUUUUCUGAUUGUAAUGCCUACUGCGUGGCCCACAACCAUAAGACAGGGAAAUGCGUCGUCGCACCUGAAGUAGGGUUUAUUUGUUGUUGCUUCUAAGAUGGUGAACAAACUUUUUAGUAAGAGUUCUCUUCAUAUGGUUGUAAGCAAGCAAUGUAAUUUUUGAAUAAUCAUUAGCUUCAUUGGCGGAAAUAAAAAGUAUCGUGAGAAGCUGAGUUUAAUCCA